rnacentral:rRNA from 1 species
AUGAAGCUCUUUGUCGAGACCCUCGCCGGCAAGAAGAUGACCGUCAAGGUCGACCCGUCGGACACCAUCAACGUCGUCAAGGCCAAGAUUCAUGAGCAGCAGCGCCUUACCUUUGACGACGAGGAGCUAGACGACAGACGCAGCGUGUCCUACUACCGCAUCCAUGAUGGAUCCACUCUUCGCCUCGGUCUGCGCCCGAGAAGGAAGAUCGAAAUCUUUCUCAAAGGGUUGACUGCUGGCAAGACCACUACCCAUUAUUUUGACGAGCUGGACACCGUCGAUUGUGUCAAGGCCAUGAUCCAGGAGAGAGACGGCAUUCCUGCCGCCGAGCAGAGGCUGAUCUAUGCCGGGAAACAGCUGGAAGAUGGUCGCACCCUGGCGCACUAUGCCAUCCACGACUGGGCCACAUUGCACCUCGUGCUCCGUCUCCGAUCAUGCAGUCAAUGCCCAAGAACCCACGAAAGCGAGCCAGGUCAAGAUCAGGAUUCCAAUGCAGGCUCCUCCGAUGUUAUCACUGAUGUUUCGCCCGAGGCCAAGCACCCUAAAAGCAAGAUUGCAACUCCCAUUGAUGCUGCUAACUUGAGGAGGAGCUCAAGAUCCAAUAAGUAUGAUGGCUUUAAGGUGAACCUUCAAUCUGACAGUAGAAUCCAGAAGUCCAAGGCGAAGAAGAGAUGCUUUCCCACAUCGAUGGGCGCUACCAAAACUGAGGUCGAAGACACUGGCUGA